rnacentral:RNase_P_RNA from 1 species
GGAGGUGGUGAGGUGGUCGCAGGCGGGUACGCUCGCUUGAGGAAAGUCCGGGCUCACCAACGAGCAGGUUGCUGGGUAACGCCCAGUGCGCGUGAGCGUGAGGAUAGUGCCACAGAAACAUACCGCCGAUGGCUUUGCAAAAAGUACAGGUAAGGGUGCAAAGGUGCGGUAAGAGCGCACCAGCAGCAUCGAGAGGUGCUGGCUUGGUAAACCCCGCCCCGAGCAAGGCGUGAGGACAGAAGCGCAAGCUUCAGGGUUGCUCGUUGACCGUCCUCCAAGGUGCCGCAAGAGGCGUCGGGUAACCGGCGUCCCAGAGAGAUGACUACCCUGUGAUGGUCU